UCAUCGGCUGUUAAUAUAGAAGAGGUAAUUUUAAAUGGAACUGCAAUUGAAGAACUGCCUUCAUCCAUCGAUUGCAUCUCUGGGCUUUCUAUCUUGGACGUUCAAAAUUGUAAAAAGCUUAAGAGUCUCCCAAGCAACCUAUGUAAGUUGACAUGUCUUAGAGCUCUUAUCCUCAAUGGUUGCUCAAAACUUCAGCGAUUGCCUGACGAACUUGGAAAUUUAGAAGCUUUGGGUUACUUGCAUGCUGAAGGAACUGGCAUAAGAGAAGUACCAUCAUCCAUUGUCCGUUUGAAUAACGUUCGAAAAUUAGAUUUCAAGGGAACCAAGGGUUUAUCAUUGCCUAUGACAUUAUCUUUAGGUGGCGCCUUACGAGGUCUAUGGUGUUUAGACCUAACUGAUUGCGGCAUCACAGAGUUACCUGAAAAUCUUGGCAUGUUAUCCUCACUUAUAAACUUGUAUCUAGAUAAAAACAAUUUUGGGAGAAUACCAGAAAGCAUUAUACAACUUUCUACGUUGUUAUAUUUCCGCUUGAGUCAUUGUGAGAGGCUUCAAUCCUUACCAGAGCUUCCUUGCUCUCUGCUUGAGUUGGAUGCACAUCAUUGCACGGCACUGGAAUCAUUAUCAGGUUUAUUCUUAAGGGAUGAACCUUAUCGUCCGUGUAUUGACCUGAGCGAUAAUUAUAAAAUGGAUCAGAAUGUGACCAGAGGAAUUCUCCAAGAUGCUCUACAAAAGUUUAAGCAUAUGGCAACUGAACGUCGGAAACGAGUAGAGGAAAAGGUGUGUCUUUGGCUUUCUCUAGUCUCUUCUUCUUUUAAUUUAUUUAUAAAAUGUUAACUUUACCAACAGAUCAACUAGCAUGGGUUGUUUUAGCUUAACCAAGGUUCUCGGUUCGAGACUUGGGAAUGCAGCUGCGUUAAAUACUUGUUGGGAAAGCUCUGCCGCCCUAGUGGUCCUACCCGACUCGAAUCUGAAUUAGUCGUGACCCAAUGUGAUCUUUGGAUACCAAAUGGUUUAAUACACCGAAAAAAAAAAUGUUAACUUUUUUAAAAUUAAUUAAAAUUAUUAUUUUUGUGGUACAGAUACCUUUUUCAGGAUCUAAGGGUCAUGUCUUAUUACCUGGAAAUGAAAUUCCAGAGUGGUUUAGCUUUAAAAGCGAGGGAUCUUCUAUGACGUUGGACAUGACACCAGAUUUCUUCAAUAAAAACCGAGUACUCGGCUUUGCUUUUAGCGCUAUUGUAGGAUUUGGAGACCAUCAAGAUGUCAGAGAAGAGAGGUUUAGAUUAUUCUGUGAAAUCAAAGUCAAACCCAAAGAUUGUGAUUCACAUGUCAUACAGAGACCUCUGGCAGUAAUUAGAUAUGUAGAGUCAGAUCACUUACUUUUGGGGGACGAUUUCUUCGAUGAUAAGGAAUUUUUUACUUUUUGGGAGAACAAUUGGGUUCCUGAGGCUAUCCAGUUCUAUUUUAAAGAAGAAUUUGGUUAUGAAAUUUUGGGGUAUUGCCUUGUGAAAAAAUGUGGGAUCCAUUUACUGUACGCCCCAGAUUCUUCGGAUUCAACAGAAGAAGAGGAACCAUGCCCCUAAAGACUGGCAUAUGGCAUGUGCUAGAAGACGUCCAUCGCAGCAGCUGGUACAUUUCUGUAAAUUAUUCUUCCUCUAUAUGUAAUUAUUGUUUUCCUAUAGCUUGGUUUCUUUGUUUUUCUAUAGCUUGGUUUAUUAUAUUUUUAUGUGAUGAGUUUGUAUGUCUCUCUACACUCUAGUAAUGGUUUGUUUAUGUCAUAUGUGCAGCUACCAUUUGACCAAGACAAACUUUCUUGUUUGUGAGGAUAUUGAUCAUAAUUUUUGUAGCUGAAGUUAAAGUAGGAGUUAGAGAAGUUUCUUUUGAUUCUUGAUCAAAAGAAAAACAUAGGAGUUUGACAGAACCAUCGCCAUCUUUCAUUGUACGUUUUCUAUGUAUUAAUUGAAUUGUUCUGACAUGAUUAUCGUUGUUUGGACACUGUUGUACAUCGAUUGAAUGACUUGAACGAUUUUAUAAUGUUUAUAGAUUGUUACAAUUAGAUAACAUUCGCUACAUAAGCAAAGAAAUAAUAGGAAUUUAAAAAAAAAAUACAAUAUGAAAAAUCAACUGCCAAUCUUCAUAACCUAAUUUAGGUGCUACAAUACUUGUUAUAAAUUUUUCGAUAGCAUCUUAUAUAAAAUGUUAUAAGGCACUAAAGCACUUGCAUCAUUAAAUCUAAUCAUAAUUCAACAAUUAAUAAUUCAACACUUAGCAUAUAUAACAUACAGCAACAGUAUAAACCCAUAAAUAAAAGUACCACAACAUAAAUCCAACAUCCAGAAUAACAUAAAUUCAAGUUUAACACCACCACAAGUCCACAUAGGUUGUUUCAUUUUUUUCAUUUAACUUAUAUAUUUUUUAAUUUAAUAAAUAAUUGAAUAAAAAAAUAAUACGGAUCCAGAUAUUUGAUUUUCUAGAUGCACUUGUAUCUAGAUCCCGAUCCGGAUUUGUACGAAUCUUAAUUUUUAACAUCCAAUUUGUAUUUUUUAAUGUGCGGAUUCCAAAUUUCCUUUAUCUCAAUAUUUACGAAUUUGGUCAGAUCCAGAUAUUUUUACUAUCCCCAUACACAGCCAUAAUUCAAGUUACGUUUAUAUGGGCCAAUGGGCUCUUUGGCACAAUUUAUGCACUCAUAAGUUUUUAUGAGUUCGAGUCUCCGUAAUGAUUAUUGGAAUUUUAUCUUCUUUCCUAUUAAAUUAAGGGAAAAAAUAUUUUUUGUUAAUACAGCAGAGUAGCUAAUUUUCUAAUAUUAUAUGAGAAUAGAAAUUUAGGUCAGGCUAUACUAAAUUUAUCAAGGAUAAUUUGAUAGACUUUUGACUGAAAGUAUCAAUAAUUGCGACUCAAUUUUCCUUCCAAUAAAAUUAAGUGGGGCACAUUUCUUUCUUGCUAAUACAGUAGAAUAGAUAUUUCUCUAGCAUUAUAUAAGAGUAAAAAUUUAAGCUCUCUUAUACUAAAGUUAUCAAUGGUAGUUUUAAUAGAUAUUUUUAAUUGUAAAUAUUAAUAAAAUUCUAUUAUUAUAUUAUUGUAUAAAAAAUAAAAACAACAAAGUCACUUUUGCAUAAACUUCGAAGAGAAGUUAAGACUUUUGAGUUUUGACCCGAACAGAACCAAAGAGACCAUUUUUUUUAAUUAAAAUCUGAAAAUAUUAUUGAAGACUACCUAUGAGAUGGUGUAUUCUAUAAAUAAUUAAAUAUAGUUUAAUUGUAAUUUUUAAUUUUUUAAUGGGUUAAUUUCAGCCUACCCACUUCGUGAAGUGACAAUCUUUAAAUCGCCCCCCUUACUAUUAAAAACAUUAAGUUACCCCCUAAAACUCGUUAUCUUUAACCAUUGACCGCCGUUGACUCAUAAAAGUACGACAACACCCGUACCUUAACAGAAUAUUCUUGUAACGGUAUUGUGAGAAUAAAAAAAAAUGUUUAUGUGUGACUAGUCAUUGGAAAAUGAAAAAAAGUAGUUUAUGUAUGACUAGUCAUUGAAAAAUAAAUUAAAAAAUAAAGUGUUAGAAAUGACUUAAUGGGUCUAAAUAAAUUGAUAAUUUUCCUAAAUUAGACAUGUUAGUUAAAUAAGUUACAAGACAUGCCAUCAUAUAUAAAUUACGAUAAUGCCAUUUUCGUCUUUUUCUUUCAUUUCUCUUCAUCUUUUCUUUCAUUUUUUUUUCUCAUCCUUACUCCUUUGUCUUUUCCUUUCAUUUGUUUUUUCCUCAUCCUUACUCCUUCUUCAUCUUUUUCUUCAUUUUUUUUCUUUUCUUCCAUGUACAUGACUCCAGUCUCCAAAGCCCUCGUUGAUUCCACAUCUGAACAAGCUAGUUAGUCUCAAACUAAGCGGUUGCAAAAGCUUGAAAAGCCUUCCAGCUGAAAUGUUUCAUUUGGAAUUUCUUAAAGAACUUGAUCUUUUGGGCUGCUCAAAACUGAAGAGGCUUCCAGAGAUGUCAUCGGCUGUUAAUAUAGAAGAGGUAAUUUUAAAUGGAACUGCAAUUGAAGAACUGCCUUCAUCCAUCGAUUGCAUCUCUGGGCUUUCUAUCAUGGACGUUCAAAAUUGUAAAAAGCUUAAGAGUCUCCCAAGCAACCUAUGUAAGUUGACAUGUCUUAGAGCUCUUAUCCUCAAUGGUUGCUCAAAACUUCAGCGAUUGCCUGACGAACUUGGAAAUUUAGAAGCUUUGGGUUACUUGCAUGCUGAAGGAACUGGCAUAAGAGAAGUACCAUCAUC
rnacentral:lncRNA from 1 species